rnacentral:tRNA from 3 species
GGACGAUUAGCUCAGCUGGUUAGAGCACUUGUUUUACACACAAGGGGUCGGGGGUUCGAGUCCCUCAUCGUCCACCA